rnacentral:rRNA from 1 species
UACGGGGGGGGGGCAAGCGUUGUUCGGAAUUACUGGGCGUAAAGGGCUCGUAGGUGGCCAACUAAGUCGGACGUGAAAUCCCUCAGCUUAACUGGGGGAACUGCGUCCGAUACUGGAUGGCUUGAGUUUGGGAGAGGGAUGCGGAAUUCCAGGUGUAGCGGUGAAAUGCGUAGAUAUCUGGAGGAACACCGGUGGCGAAGGCGGCAUCCUGGACCAACACUGACACUGAGGAGCGAAAGCCAGGGGAGCAAAGCAGG